rnacentral:lncRNA from 1 species
GAAGUCACCAGAUGAUCCAGGAAUUGGAGAUUUUUCCUACAGGAUCGACCCCAGUGGGUUUCCUCAAUUGUCUUUGUACAAGGGUUCGGCUCUUUGGUGGCGAAGCGGGACAUGGACCGGGCAAAGAUGGAGUGGUGUACCUGAAAUGACAAGAAACUACAUAUUUAAUGUUUCCUUCGUUAACACUGAUGAUGAAGUAUCAAUCACGUAUGGGGUGACUAACGCCUCUAUCAUCACAAGAAUGAUAACCAAUGAAACGGGAAUUCAAGAAAGAUUUACAUGGAGUAAUCAAGCGCGUAAAUGGAUUGGAUUUUGGUCAGCCCCAAAGGAGCAGUGUGAUUUGUACGGCCAUUGUGGGCCAAACGGUUACUGUAACCCAGAUAACUCAGAUCGUUUCGAGUGCACUUGUUUCCCCGGAUUCGAACCC